AAAAUCUCCAGAAAGCAGUGAAUGAAGCAUCAAAACAAAAGACAGAAGACAAGUACAGAAUCUCAGCUGGAGUUCAACAGCUUGAUUUGAAGCUGCUUGAACUUUAUCCUAAAAUACAAGCACUGAAAAAACUGUCAACAGGGGAUGAUACACUGAUACGCUUCUCAGAAAAACUCAUUCAAGGUGGCAGGACGUAUUAUACCCUAAAGAAAAAGGUGAUCUCUCCUGAAGCGAAGGACAUGGGGAAAAGCCUGAAAGAGGUUUUGAACGUUUUGAAAAAGUCUCACCAGGAGCAUGAAGAGCUGUAACCGUUUCUCUCUCUGUGGCCUUAUCCUGUUGUAAUUUAUCAAGCAGGUUCAGUUUUUGUGGAUUAAUUUCUGUUUUUUUUAUCACUUUGAUUCUGUAUCGUAUGUACAACGACCCAACAUGAACCUAAUGUUUACUAUAAAACACCAUGCAAGUCCUUUUAAAAAGAAAACAUUUUGUUCAUUUUUUUUAAUGAUUCACAUGUUUUUAAUACUGUGGGAUUUGUUAUUUUAAUUAACUGUGUAUUUACUUUUUUCCAACAACAAACAACCUUUCUUCUUAUCAUUAAAGUUUAAAUUUCAGACAACUUGUA